GACGAACGCUGGCGGCGUGCUUAACACAUGCAAGUCGAACGAUGAAGCCGGAGCUUGCUCUGGUGAAUUAGUGGCGAACGGGUGAGUAACACGUGAGUAACCUGCCCUUGACUCUGGGAUAACUGCGGGAAACUGUAGCUACUGCCGGAUACGACCCUCGGAAGCCCCUCCUGGGGGUGGAAAGAAUUUCGGUCAAGGAUGGACUCGCGGUCUAUCAGCUAGUUGGUGAGGUAAAGGCUCACCAAGGCGACGACGGGUAGCCGGCCUGAGGGGGUGACCGGCCACACUGGGACUGAGACACGGCCCAGACUCCUACGGGAGGCAGCAGUGGGGAAUAUUGCACAAUGGGCGCAAGCCUGAUGCAGCAACGCCGCGUGAGGGAUGACGGCCUUCGGGUUGUAAACCUCUUUUAGCAGGGAAGAAGCGAAAGUGACGGUACCUGCAGAAAAAGCACCGGCUAACUACGUGCCAGCCGCCGCAGUAA
rnacentral:rRNA from 1 species